UAAGGAAUAUUGGUCAAUGGACGCAAGUCUGAACCAGCCAUGCCGCGUGAAGGAUGAAGGUCCUCUGGAUUGUAAACUUCUUUUAUUAGGGACGAAACCCCCGGUUUUCACCGGGGUUGACGGUACCUAAGGAAUAAGCACCGGCUAACUCCGUGCCAGCAGCCGCGGUAAUACGGAGGGUGCAAGCGUUAUCCGGAUUUACUGGGUUUAAAGGGUGCGUAGGCGGGUCUUUAAGUCAGUGGUGAAAACCCCGAGCUUAACUCGGGAACUGCCAUUGAUACUAUUGAUCUUGAAUUCGGUUGAGGUGAGCGGAAUGUGUCGUGUAGCGGUGAAAUGCUUAGAUAUGACACAGAACACCAAUUGCGAAGGCAGCUCGCUAAGCCGAUAUUGACGCUGAGGC
rnacentral:rRNA from 1 species